rnacentral:rRNA from 1 species
AGUGAACGCUGGCGGUAGGCCUAACACAUGCAAGUCGAACGGCAGCACAGGAGAGCUUGCUCUCUGGGUGGCGAGUGGCGGACGGGUGAGGAAUACAUCGGAAUCUACUCUGUCGUGGGGGAUAACGUAGGGAAACUUACGCUAAUACCGCAUACGACCUACGGGUGAAAGCAGGGGACCUUCGGGCCUUGCGCGAUUGAAUGAGCCGAUGUCGGAUUAGCUAGUUGGCGGGGUAAAGGCCCACCAAGGCGACGAUCCGUAGCUGGUCUGAGAGGGUGAUCAGACAACCUGGAACGGAGACACGGUCCAGGCUCCUACGGGAGGCAGCAGUGGGGAAUAUUGGACAAUGGGCGCAAGCCUGAUCCAGCCAUACCGCGUGGGUGAAGAAGGCCUUCGGGUUGUAAAGCCCUUUUGUUGGGAAAGAAAUCCAGCUGGCUAAUACCCGGUUGGGAUGACGGUACCCAAAGAAUAAGCACCGGCUAACUUCGUGCCAGCAGCCGCCGUAA